UAUUGCACAAUGGGGGAAACCCUGAUGCAGCCAUGCCGCGUGUGUGAAGAAGGCCUUCGGGUUGUAAAGCACUUUCAGCGAGGAGGAAAGGAUGUAAGUUAAUACCUUACAUCUGUGACGUUAACAGCAGAAGAAGGACCGGCUAACUCCGUGCCAGCAGCCGCGGUAAUACGGAGGGUCCGAGCGUUAAUCGGAAUUACUGGGCGUAAAGCGCGCGUAGGUGGUUCAGUCAGUCAGAUGUGAAAGCCCCGGGCUCAACCUNGGAACUGCACCUUGAUACUGCUGAGCUAGAGUACGGUAGAGGGCAGUGGAAUUUCCGGUGUAGCGGUGAAAUGCGUAGAGACCGGAAGGAACACCAGUGGCGAAGGCGACUACCUGGACCGAUACUGACACUGAGGUGCGAAACGUGGGUAGCAAACAGGAUUAGAUACCCUGGUAGUCCACGCCGUAAACGAUGUCAACUAGCGUUGGAGGACCUUGAUCCUUUAGUGGCGCGCAACGCGAAUAAGUUGACCCCGCCUGGGGAGUACGGCCGCAAGUUA
rnacentral:rRNA from 1 species